rnacentral:rRNA from 1 species
GAUGAACGCUGGCGGCGUGCCUAAUACAUGCAAGUCGAACGAGUUCUCGUUGAUGAUCGGUGCUUGCACCGAGAUUCAACAUGGAACGAGUGGCGGACGGGUGAGUAACACGUGGGUAACCUGCCCUUAAGUGGGGGAUAACAUUUGGAAACAGAUGCUAAUACCGCAUAGAUCCAAGAACCGCAUGGUUCUUGGCUGAAAGAUGGCGUAAGCUAUCG